AAUAUAUAGAAAAAUAUUUUAUUACUUAUUAUUUAAUACAUAUCAGUCUAAUUGAGGUACAAACAAAUUUGGAGGUUUCGACAUUUCAAGAAUCGUACACAUAUGAUCCAUAAUAUGUUUACACAAUUUUUUUUUUUACAGUGAAUUUCUUGUUACAAUAAUUACACGUAAACUCAUUCUUGUCAUGGGUAUAUACGUGUCUUUCUAAAGCAUCUUUCCUUGCAAAAGUCUUAUCACAUAUGUAACAGUCGUAGUUACGUAUCUUUAGUAUGUCUCAAUCUAUGGUUUAUUAGAAGUUGUUUUUGUACAAAACUCUUGUCACAAUCACUACAUUUGUAUAUUUUUAAAUUUGCAUGAGUUUUUUCAUGGACUUUUAAUUGCCAAUGUGUACUAAAACUUUUCUUGCAUGAUAAGCACUUGAUUACACAAUUUUUUAUUGCCAUGUGUCUUGAGAUGUACAUUUAGAUUACCUAUUUGUGAAAAACUCUUCUUACAUAUAUUACAUUUAUGCGGUUUAUUUUGUAAUCAGAAAAUAUACGUAGUAGCCGAACUACAGAAAGUUAUGGAAAAGUAAUAUCCGCACCGCGCCGACUGUAUUCAAAGAAAGUUGUGGGAAAGUAAUAUUCUAUGACGUAAUGCCAGUAUAGCAGAAAUAUAGUAAACGCGCAUCUUCACUAUUGCUCCUCUGACGUAAAUAUUGUGACAGCUGACAUAUUUUUUCUUGUGCUUCGUGAAUCGUUUAUAAUUAUAAGUUAAAACAUACAUCUGUGAUUUUUAUUAAAAAAAGACAUUUUAUUCAACAUUGAAACUGUAUAGCAUAUAUUUAUGGUAAAAUAUGCUAUAUUCUAACCUAUUUGUGACAAAUGUAUGUAGAUUCAUAAAACACCUGUUGAUCUGUGGAUGUUCAGCUCAGCACAUUCAACUUCACAAACAGAUUUUAAUCAUAUAAUUUGGAUCAAAGAAAUACUACACAAGAAAUACUAAUAAUUACACCAAAAAAAAUUCAAAAUUCAAGGAUGGCGUGAAUAAAUGAAUGGUACUGUAGCCUAUAUCUUACGUGAUUACUGUAUAAAAUUACGUAGAAUUUGUACGAUUUUUGGGACCUUAUAUUAAUAUAAAUUAUUGUAAUUAUCUUAAUAAAAUAUUUUGAAAAUAAAAUAA